AGACCAAAGUGGGGGACCUUCGGGCCUCAUGCCAUCAGAUGUGCCCAGAUGGGAUUAGCUAGUAGGUGGGGUAACGGCUCACCUAGGCGACGAUCCCUAGCUGGUCUGAGAGGAUGACCAGCCACACUGGAACUGAGACACGGUCCAGACUCCUACGGGAGGCAGCAGUGGGGAAUAUUGCACAAUGGGCGCAAGCCUGAUGCAGCCAUGCCGCGUGUGUGAAGAAGGCCUUCGGGUUGUAAAGCACUUUCAGCGGGGAGGAAGGCGUUAAGGUUAAUAACCUUGUCGAUUGACGUUACCCGCAGAAGAAGCACCGGCUAACUCCGUGCCAGCAGCCGCGGUAAUACGGAGGGUGCAAGCGUUAAUCGGAAUUACUGGGCGUAAAGCGCACGCAGGCGCUCUGUCAAGUCGGAUGUGAAAUCCCCG
rnacentral:rRNA from 1 species